AAAAAUCUCAUUGACUGGAAGGAAUCCCUUCCGGUCAAUGGGGUAUAACAACCUUAUCAACCGGAAGGGAUUCCUUCCAAUCAAUGGGGCUGUU
rnacentral:miRNA from 1 species